GUGGGGAAUCUUGCGCAAUGGGCGAAAGCCUGACGCAGCCAUGCCGCGUGAAUGAUGAAGGUCUUAGGAUUGUAAAAUUCUUUCACCGGGGACGAUAAUGACGGUACCCGGAGAAGAAGCCCCGGCUAACUUCGUGCCAGCAGCCGCGGUAAUACGAAGGGGGCUAGCGUUGCUCGGAAUUACUGGGCGUAAAGGGCGCGUAGGCGGACAGUUUAGUCAGAGGUGAAAGCCCAGGGCUCAACCUUGGAAUUGCCUUUGAUACUGGCUGUCUUGAGUACGGGAGAGGUGAGUGGAACUCCGAGUGUAGAGGUGAAAUUCGUAGAUAUUCGGAAGAACACCAGUGGCGAAGGCGACUCACUGGCCCGUUACUGACGCUGAGGCGCGAAAGCGUGGGGAGCAAACAGGAUUAGAUACCCGAGAGUCC
rnacentral:rRNA from 1 species